rnacentral:lncRNA from 1 species
CCAGCUCCAGACCUCAAUUAAACUGAUUGAAAGAUUAUGUCUUCAUCAUAUGAAUAUCAGGUACAAUCCCUCCUAUUAGGGGUUUAGUAUCAUACUAUCAUAAAAUAUAUCAGAAGAACAUAACCCGUGUCAUGCCAACAACUGUUUUUUUAGAAAUAAAUGUGUUUAGUUUCGAUGCAAAGACCCUAUCAGUGAAUCAAUGUUAAAGCUAAAAUAUGCAAUCUUUAAUGACCUGACAACAGUAUCGUAACUAUAUCCCCUUUUAAUAAGUCUAUUUAAAGGUUUUGUUAGUUUCUGAGGAGAAUACUGACAUUUUUGUGCUUUAUAAAG